GAGAAGGCAGCUGGGCAUGCGCAGUGCCAGAGGCUGGCAGAGGAGGCGCUGGCAGAGACGCCAGGUGGGUCUGCGCUUUGGGACGGGAACCUCACAGCCACAGUCACGUCCCCAGAAAAGGGAACACAGGACUUGGAGACGUUUCGAUGUUUUCAAGACCUGGGAAACGUGUUUAAAGGCAAACAGCAAAGCUUGACCAUGUAGAGAUAGAUGUCCUUCCUAUUUAGCAAUUCACUCAGAGAGAAGAGAACGCGUGAUUUGGGGGCAGAAGAGAAAGAAACUGAGUUGAGAAACAGAAAAUUCAGAUUUUCUAAAAGCGUCCAGAAGUGAACAGUGAGUAAAAACGCCCCACGUGACACUGAGAAAUGUCCCCAGAGCCGCGCAGUCCCAAGGCCGCCAUUGAAAAGUCUCCACGCUGGAACUGCUAUUUCCAGCACUUACUGUCAGGGACUGAGUUUGAGUUUGCGUUUUGCAAACCAUCUCCUCCAUCGUUUUGGUUUUCCACAGUGACGCAAAGAGUUGCCCUCCCUCUCUGGUUUCUUAUGGCGGCUGGUUUCCUUCCAUCUUUUUCAAAUAACGCAUUUCCACUUAGCUGGUGCCGUCUUCUGGGAUUAAUUAGUGACUGCGCAAGGUACACGGGGUUUCCGCGGCCGGCACCUCUUGACAGACGGCAGUUGGAAAGAAAUGGGAAAUGAUUGCAGAGAUGGAAGAAAAAAAAAGACCUAAAUUAUAGGAACCAACAGUCCCUGUUGCUGGAAAAUGCUGGGGAUCUGGAGUGAAUAAAUAUUCCUGAGAUGAGACGACCGUGACCUUGUGUGGGGAGCUUGGGGCAAUCACCUGGAUAACACGAGCCAGGAGAGGGCAGGGAUGGAAGAAAACAUUUCUGAAGCUCAUUCAUCCUGAAAUGCCUGGGUCAGACAGUUGACUCUGUGGAUGCCGCCAGAAUUCAUCUCAGAGAGAGGCAGGCACAGAGAAAUAUUCCAGCUGAGCGGAGCCACCAGGAAAUGUGCGCUCCACAGAUCAGGCUCCAAGUUGCAGGUGCACACGUGUGUGUACAUGUGUGUGCAUGUAUGUGCAUGUGAAGGCAACAUGACAGCCCUGAGGUGAGGCCCAUCCCCAGGCCUCCCGAGGCUCAGGUGGUCCCUUGAAGGGGGCCUGCAGGCACCCAGCAUGCAGACACACCGCCAUUGAGCCCUCGCGUUGCUAGUCUAAUUCUCUCCGCCUGCAGAGUGGGUGCUGUGAUGCCCAUUGAAGAGAUGAAGAAGCCAAGGCUCAGAGAGGUACAGGAACUUGUCCAGGGUCACAUUCAUUUGGCAGGGCAGCCAGGGUUUAAGCCCAGGUUUUUCUGUAAAGUCUGUGUGUUUCCUACCGCCUCACGCUGUCAUCCCACAGUCCAACAAGGCUCGGCUCGGCUGUGUCAGUAGUUAACGUGCAUGAUGCUGGAACCCUGGGAUGGACAGUGUCUUCUGCAGAAGUCGCUCUCCGUUUCCUCCGGCUGAGCCAGGGCCAGCGGAGCACAGGGCCAGGCUGCCGUGUCCUUGUUCUGCGCUGUGCUCUGAGGGCUGCGUGUGGCCUGGCCCACGGUAUUUGCAGCCACAGAGCAGGCUGCGUUUUAAAUCCACCAAGGGCAGCAGGGGGGCUGGGCGGGAGCAGCGUCCCUGGGGCUCACGGAAGCGCCGAGCGCCCCCCAGUCCUCACUGGGCUGUGGUGUGGAGCAUGAAGGGCUAAUUUCAUGGCUGAUAAAACUCUCUAUGCACGAGACUUCACAGACAAAUGAGAGCACUGCUCUGCUCCUUUUCAUGAGGACAUUUAUUUUCUCCUUUCCUUGGGAAGGCACUUCUUCCGGCCUUCCUCAGUCCUGGCCCCUGCAGCUGUGCAAAGGAGGAUCAGGGCUUCUGUGAUGGAAGUGCAGACACCAGGACAGAAAAGUGGCUGGUUCAGGGAGGAGGGCCGGGCCAUGCUCCCUGCUGGGAGCAGAUGGGGCCAAGAGGGAGGCUGGUGGGAGGAUCUGGGUAGCUCUGAAGGAUGCUCCGUGUUAUCCUGAAGGGGCGCAUCCUCAUCGGGUUUGAAACAAUGGGACUUGGUUCAAUGGAGAAAUGAUCUCAUCAGCCUGUUUCUCCUCAUGGCCUUCCCCAGCCAUACCCUGCUUUGCGAGGAAUUCUCCAGGAUGCGGGCAAUCAUGGCCUGCUCCAGAAGGCCUUCCGGAGUGCUCUGGCUCACUGGCAUCUCCUUUUCUCAGAACCCUAUCCGAGACCGACUCUCCUAACCUCUGGCCCUCUCCUAACCUCCAUGGGCCAGGAUCUGGCAUUUCAGGAGAUUCUCACUGGAGACCCCCCGUGUGCCCCAUAGUGCAGACGAGGAAGCUGAGGUUCGGUCUGUUGGGUGUGAUCCCAGCUGCCAACUGAUGGAGCCUGAUGAGGUCCACCAGCCGUCUGGUCCACGUCCAGCACCGGGGCUGGCUAGGUCACGUGACUGAACUUUUCACAGUCCUCUCUCUUACCCGAGCACUUCAGUAUGUUUGAUUUUUCUCCUUAAUUAUGCUAGAGGCUUCUUGGGAGCAGAUACCAUAUUUUCUUUCUCUUGCACCCUCUCUCCAGUGUGAAACAUAGACACACACAUCCAUGGAAGAGAGAGCAACACACACACACAACACAGAGACACAAAGAGCCACCCACAGAUAAACACACACAAGACACACACAGAAUACACAUAUGAACGCACAUGUCCAAACCCACACUCGAGGCUAUGUGUGCAUGACGUCUGCACACACAAAUAUGGUCACUGACGUCCCCUCCCCGAGCACACAGGCCUGACAAGGAAAGAAAGCUGUAAAAGGGAUUUUAGCAGAAAGCAGGACCAAUGACAGGACCAGCGCCCGCCUUGUGAGUCCUGGGCUCAGCAACAUUUGGCCCCUCCUGCCACCUCUGGGUCUGGCAUGUGUGAGUGGCCUGGCUCUGGAAUCAGUCACUGGCCUGUGCAUCCAGCAAGUGCCAGGAACUCUCCCAGCCUCAGUUUCCCCCUCCGUCACAUGUGGUUAGCCUGCCCUGCUCAUGGAUCAUUGUGAGGAUUAGAUGAGAGAACAGAUGCCAUAACGUCUGGUUCACAAGAAGCAGAGCUCUCAUUUCUCCCUGAGCGAGGAGCCUGACGGUUCAGAAGGGCCAUGGGGAGGCCGGAAAGGGGACACAGAGAGUUUCACAAACUGACAUUUAAAAAAAAUUAAAACUGUAUCAUUUAUAUCACAUUUUUCUUAUUUUAUAGGUAAGAUACAGUCCGUUUUAAAUAUUUUAGAAAACCAGAAUCAUACUGAGAAGAAUAUUUUUAAAGUAACCCCACCCCGUCAUCCACUGACUCACUCCACGAGCUCUUCUGAGAGCUGCCUGUGCUGGUCCCGUUUCAGGCCCUGGGGUCCAGCUUGAGCGAGAUAGGGAAAGCACCUGCGCGGAAGGUUCUGGGGGGAGAGGGCGGGCCGCAGACGGGCCCACAGACAGAGGCUCCUGCUCCUGGGGCUCUCCUCGCUGUAACCGCAGCUGCACACAGAUGUGGGGAGAGUGAGGGUUGAUUGUAUGUGUCAGCUGGCCGGGGCCACAGGGCCCCAGCUAUCUGGUUCCAGACUACUUCUGGGUGUGUCUGUGAAGGUGCAUCUCC
rnacentral:lncRNA from 1 species